UGAAUACGAGAUGCUACGGCAUCGAAGCAGUCUAUGUCAUACUUCCAAGAAAAGCUUGCACUGUCAUAAACAAAUAAUGCCUGUACCAUAACCGACACAGGUGGGUAGGUAGAGUAUACUAAGGGGCGCGAGAUAACUCUCUCUAAGGAACUCGGCAAAAUGACUCCGUAACUUCGGGAGAAGGAGUGCCUUAUUUUAUAAGGUUGCAAUAACAAGAUCCAAGCAACUGUUUACCAAAAACACAGGUCUCCGCUAAGUCGUAAGACGAUGUAUGGGGGCUGACGCCUGCCCAGUGCCAGAAGGUUAAAGAAGUUGGUUAGCAUUAGCGAAGCUGAUAACUGAAGCCCUGGUGAACGGCGGCCGUAACGAUAACGGUCCUAAGGUAGCGAAAUUCCUUGUCGGGUAAGUUCCGACCCGCACGAAAGGCGUAAUGAUUUGGAUACUGUCUCGGAGAGGGGCUCGGUGAAAUAGACUUGUCUGUGAAGAUGCGGACUACCUGCACCAGGACAGAAAGACCCUAUGAAGCUUUACUGUAACUUGAGAUAGAAAUUGGACUUUAUUUGCGCAGUAUAGGUGGGAGACGUUGAAAAUAUUCUUGCGGGAAUAUUGGAGUCAUCAGUGAGAUACCACUCUUAUAAUGUUAGAUUUCUAACUUUGUAUCAUUAUCUGGUCAAAGAACAGUCUCAGGCGGGCAGUUUGACUGGGGCGGUCGCCUCCCAAACGGUAACGGAGGCGCACAAAGGUUUCCUCUGAACGUGUAGAAAUCGUAUCUAGAGUGUAAAGGCAUAAGGAAGCUUGACUGUGAGACCUACAAGUCGAGCAGGGACGAAAGUCGGUCUUAGUGAUCUGACGGUGCUGAGUGGAAAGGCCGUCACUCAACGGAUAAAAGUUACUCUAGGAUAACAGGCUGAUCUCCCCCAAGAGUUCACAUCGACGGGGAGGUUUGGCACCUCGAUGUCGGCUCAUCGCAUCCUGGGGCGGUAGUACGUCCCGAGGGUUGGGCUGUUCGCCCAUGAAAGCGGUACGCGAGCUGGGUUCAGAACGUCGUGAGACAGUUCGGUCCAUAUCCGGUGUAGGCGUUAGAAUAUUGAGAGGAGCCUUCUUUAGUACGAGAGGACCGAGAAGGACAUACCUCUGGUGUACCAGUUAUCGUGCCAACGGUAAACGCUGGGUAGCUAUGUAUGGAGAGGAUAACCGCUGAAAGCAUCUAAGUGGGAAGCCCACCUCAAGAUAAGUAUUCU
rnacentral:rRNA from 1 species